GGAUGCUAGACUGGCUACGGGACUGUCAUCUUGGAUUGCUGCUGCUAUGAAUCAUCUGAGGGAGUGGGCGGGUAUGGGAGCCCUAGCUGGACUCUUGCUGCUGGUCUCCCUAGUGAGCCUGUGCUGUCUCUGUAGAAAGAGGUUUGUUCAGAGGCGGCACGCGGCUAUGGUGGUACAGACAUUUACAGCCAUUGAAGCAGGACAGUCCCCUCAAGCCUGGCUUACGGUCUUUCAGAAGACCUAGUUGCAUCUCGCCCCUGAGUAUGUGUGAGUGACCCUGCCCAGUGACAGGCAACUUCCCUUCUACCUAAGGCAGGGAACCUUGUGGGGGGACGAGGUGUCCUAAGAUGGGUUUAAUGAAGGGAUGAUCCUAAGACAGGGGGGGCGCUCAGCGGUGCCUUUGCCUGCUUGAUUAAUUAAACGAAAGGGGGAACUGUAGGGAGCUGUGACAUGCCGCGCCUCAAAGAUGGCGCUGGUUUCUGCCUUCUACCCUCCCAACGGUGAGCGCUCCUUGUAGUAAACAAGUCCUUAUUUGGCUAGCUGCCUGGCCUGCUAGCUUCCGCAUAGUGACAGCCUAUCUGCAUGACCCACGUGGCUUGCUAGGAUUGG
rnacentral:lncRNA from 1 species